UAUCUCCCUAAAUCGUUGAUUUCCUUUUGUCUCCGUUAUCGUCCGUCCGGUAUUGGGCUGUUAGGCGGGGUCAAUGGGGACACACGUCUGUUGUGCUUCGUUUGCGUCAAUGCUUCUUCCGAUUAACGCUAUCUAUCUUCCCAAGAAGAACAACGCCUUAUUUUAAUCAAUACCAGUUUCUCUCAAAUUCAUCUUUCGUCUCUUUCAUCCCACUUGUGAAAGGAGAGAAGCAUCAAUCGCAUCAGCUUUGUCUCCGAACCUUAAAUUCCAGCUUUUCUGAUUAAGUUUCUUUCUAGGAAAAUGUGGCGAAGACUUCAUUGACGUUUUUUGGAUGGUAGAAGACUUUCAAGAAACAUUCAAUCGUCUAAAAUGAUUAAAAGAGAGAUCUCUAUAAUGAAGAUGAUGAGGCAUCCUAAUAUUUUCAGACUCCAUGAGGAAAGUGAAUGUGAAGAUGAUGAAAUUGUGAUGACAAUGAUGAAGAAAAUGAUCAUGAACAAGAAGCAGAGGCAGAAAUGGAGGUGGUGUAUUAAAAGCCUGAAGAACUUUUGCCUUCAAAGGACACUGAUAGACAACUGUCAAAGAAGGGUUUCCCGAAUAUCGAGAUGGAUGUGCACACGUUCUUGGUCAACAGAUUAAGAGUCAUCCAUUACUUGAAUUCAUUAGAAAGAUAGAAUGGCUUUAAGAAGUGCUUUUAUUUUAUAUGGAUCGGUUGGUGGGCCGUCAAAAACAGUUGUUCUUCUUGCAUAUGAGUGUCCUCAAGAGAUCGAUGAUUCUGAGAUCUUGGUGAGGUCUGGUUUUAUUGUAUUUAAAGCCACGUUCUUCAACUUUCUCUCUGCAUUGGUGGCACUAGCAGGAACUGCUUUGGUUCAUUUUCACAGAAUGCUUCAAUGGAACUCAUCCAUUUGCAUCUUGCUCCUAUUGAUUCUAGACUUGCAAAUGUGUUGCUGCAGAUCAAGUCUAAACUAAAUGUACACAGUUAGAUGAGUGAUAAUGUUUUUUAAAUUGGAUAGUACUUCUUUAUGUCACCUAAAUUGCUUUCAUAGAAAAAAAAAAAAAAUAGAUAACAUAUCUUAAAUAACGAAGGCUUCCAACCCCUGCUGCAACACGGGGGAACAUUCUCUAGUUAAAUUUAUAUUUACUACAUUUUCAUAUAUUUCUAUGAAUAUUAUAAUAUGAAUAUUGGAUUUUGUUGAAUAUUAUUAUUGUACUAAAUUUGCACCCGAA